AGAUGGCGAGUUUAUACACAACCAGAAUACUGGUAAUUGGCAUCUGGUUACAUGCAACCGGAAUAAUUAGCAUCGGAGUUGUAAACGUUUGCUGACAGGUUUACUGUGGCUUGCAACAGAUCAUGUAUUAAGGCUUCUGAGUACAGUUUGCAACCUGAAGUACUAUUGAGGAAGAAGUCCAUCAUGGGGGAACAAUUUACAGCAAAUAGUUCCAAUUGCUAGCAAGCAAUGAAAGAGAAAGGAAGCUGGCUUGUUACUGAGACGAAAUGCAUCAAUUUUAAAAGACUGAACAAGUGCUGCCAGUGUAUUGGACCACCCUCAAACAGUGCCUGUAGCAUGGUAUGAUGGCGUGCUGAGAUGAUUCCACCUCCAUCUCGAUAUUUCCUCUUGUUUAUGACAAAAUGGCUGUAGAAUGUCUGCAGGCUGUGAUUCGGAGGUAUUUCCAUCAUCAGAAGGGCCUUUUGUGACAAUAAUGACCCCAAAAAUGAGCAACAUAGGGAUCAGGUAGCAAUGAAUGGGAUCUGGAGACAUUUUGGAACCAUACAAAGCCCAGAUGCAGGUCUUAGGUCACCAGUGAUGUCACAUCCUGUCUCCUGUUAACCAAUCAUAGGCAAGAUUUUCAAAGCACAGACUGGUUUCAAUUUCAGCAUAUGUUUACCAUUUCUAUAACGAGAUGGGUCGUGUGCCAAUACGGAGGAAAUCUGACUACUUCAUGGUGAUUUGUCCACUGGCAUGGUUUAGUAUCAGGAACAAUGCCAUGGCUAACAGGCGAACUCGGUUUUGCAUUCUGGUGAUUGUAUCGCUCGGAAAAUACACCCAAAUUAACAUGAAACUGAUUGAAAAAAUAUACCAGCAGAUUUGGAAGGAAAUUCAACUUUAUACCCAUAUUGUUAUGAGAUGACACAAGUAAAAGAGGAAAUUGUGAUCUUCAAUAUCCAAAGCAAAUGAAGGCCCUUAUCUAUAAUUAAUACACUGUGAUAGUUCCAAAAAAACUAUAAAGUUAAUCAAGUCUCGGAGUGGGAACGGAAAAAUCUAUAUUGAUUUGUUUACAGAUAAAACAUCAACUAAUUCAAGAACUCCAAUGCAUGGCGGGUUUCGGACAAUCUUUUUGCCUGCGAAUGAAUUCCUUCUCGGAAUAAACGCGGGGCAAUAUCUUCUAUUGUUUAUUUGUGCUUGGUUAAGCUGCGGUGGAAUAAAGAUAGCGAGUGGCAUUUGAGUCGGUCACCGUGAAAAUGAUGCGGCAUUGUUUGACUAGGACUGCAGAAGGCAAUCAUCGGAAUUAAUUUCAUAAUCUCAGAAAAGAGAAAAUGAUCUUUUCUCCAAUACAUCUCCAAAUGAUUGCUUUUUUGUCUUGAUAUCAAGUUAUUGACCAAAAUUCCUUCAUUUAUCAACAACAGAAAUCUUUCCCCCCUCUCUAUUGAGUUUCAAACUGAAUUCUGCUUCAUUAGGUGGAUUUAUUUUGUUCCAGAAAAAAAGAGUGAGCAAUAGAACCUUUAUUAAUAAGGUAUCUCCUUCAGUAUCAAAUAAUUAGAAUUUCUUUAAUUGGAAUUUAAUAGUACGACAGAAUCCUAGCAGAUUCCUAUUUGUAAGUGAUACGAGUUUCCACUUAAAAAGGAAAGAAAUUCAAUAGUUGUUUCUUGAAACAUUUUUUUUUCUGGCACGCCUCAGACAAUUCUUACUGAAAUGGUUGUUUAAUCAUUGGUAAUUUGUAGAACACAUUCCCUAAUGGCAUUGUUCUAACUAAUUCUUGAAACAAUCAAGCAGGGCCCUUUUCAUCUGUAUUCCAAGGCGACAAAUUAAUCGGAUUGCUAUUGAUAACUUAAGCAGAAAUUACCAGACACGUCACUGGGAGCUCCGAACUAAUUAGAAGAAGUGAUCUUCUAUUCUACAUCAGAAAACUCCCUCUAACUUUCCAUUGAUACUCUAAGAAUCACUUCAAAUGUACUUGUAGUCGUUCAAAUUUGAUGCCGCUUUUCUUCAAUACUUUGUUUCGCUGUUUUUUUUAUUUUAUUACAUUUCUCUUGCAGACAAUAGAGUUAUAAAAUAAAUAAAUAUAUUUAAAAGGUUCUCUUAAGAAAAUGCACUGGUAUCAUUAAAAUUAUGGGAUUUAUUGCAUCCUACUCGAAUGGAUAAGUUGGAAAUUUAGACUUAUGAUACACUAAAAAUGCAUCUCUUGAGAAAAUGGAUAAUGGAACAAACCAUACAUCAUGAAAAAAUGAUUUGUUUAAAAUUUAAAGAUAUGCAUAUGCCAUAUGCUAGAGAAGUAGAGAUGGGGUUUUUAUGCUAAUGAAGAAGACAGUUUAAGGGGGGAAAAUAAGGCUCAUUUUACAAAACAUUAAUAAGGAAAAAGGACAAUCUGUAAACUUGUUUUUUUUGUUUGUUUUUUUAAAGACAUGUCUGGACUUAUCAGAUGUAUAUAAUAUUUUGUCACAUAAAGAACAUUUCACAAAAUAUUGAUAAGGAAAAAGGACAAUGUUUAAACAUAUUUCUAAGCUUUAGACAUUUUAGUAUUUGUCAGAUAUGUUUGUAAUAAAAGGUCAUAAAGAAUGGAACUUAAUGAUGUUCAAUUCUUUUUAUUAAAGUUUAUAAAGGGUUUUGGUGCACAUGUAAUAAUAAGGCAUAAAGGAAAGAUGAAAGAUUGCCAAGGCAAAUUUCAAAAAUGUUUGUAACUGAUAAUACCAACUCUUAUAUCUUUUUGAAAAUAGUGCGUAGUUUUAAUAGUGUACAAAAAAGUCCAGCUAAUCUACCAUGUGUUAAUCUACUGCUAACUUACUAUAGAUAAACCCUCUGGGGUAUAUUUACUUUGCCUUUUUAUAAAAGGAAAUGUAAGAGUCCUGUGGACUGCGUUGAUGAAACAUAUGAAGAGUUUUGAAUUUCCCUCAUUUCUAAUUUAAUUACACAACAUACACAAUGGCCGAAUCUGAUUAUAUCUUUGAUACUUUUCUUCUGUAUCCCACAUCCUUUUCAAUGACUGGUUUCAGGUCUCUUCUAAAUGAGUUUCAAAAAUCGUUGCUAAUAUGCAAAGGUUCGCCUAAAGCAAUUGUGCGAACAAUUACGAUGGCUAAUCACGCAGGUAUAUCUUUUGGAAUAGAGAAUCGUGCAUGAUAUCGGACUAUUUAGUCAUAAUUAGAUGUUGCCUAUGAUAGAACCAUAUAUAUAGGUAAUAUGAAACCUACAUACCGUGAUUUAACAAUUGAUAAGUAUCAGCUGAAUAUUGAUGCUAGCCUCUGAUAAAAAUUUAAAUGUCCGUGCAUAUUUUUAUUUGUUAUUUAGAGGUCUUUAAAUCUGUUUGUUUAGAUUUUGGCCAUGAUUAUUCAUUCUUAAUCAAUGAAGGUUAGAUUUGAUGACUUUUAAAAUAGUCUAUGCCUAAUACUUUGUCGAGGAAGGAAUUAUAAAAAUUCCUGGAGAUGAAGAACUCUUUGAUUAUUUUGAUCAUUUUUUGCAUAAAGCGUGCACAAUCCUGGGUAUAUCUAGAUUUUCAUAUCCCGUCUAAACACCAGUAAUUACUAGGGACUAGCCCAGGUAAUAGAAGAUCUUUUUGGAAAGAACACUUCAAAUGGUUGAAUAAUUUUUAUAAUGUAAGAUCAUUAGUUUUAGGUUUCAUGUAAUUUUCUGAUUUUAUCACCAUAUAUCCAUAAUAUCUAACCAAGCAAUUACCAACUUUCAUGAAUGGAAAUUCAAAAGAACUCCGCAAAAUUAUUCUGCUGUAUAUAUUUUGUACAUGGUGCGAUUAACCAGUCCGACAUAAAAAAAAAAUCCAUAUAUUUUUUGUUCUCCUUUUCAAAAAAUGUAUUUAUUAUUUGCCAAUUUAUUUUUUUGUCCUAAAUGUAAAGUCUGCAUGAUCAUUUUAAGAGAAAACAGAAUUUAAAAGUAAAAGUGUCUUCUGGAUGGGUAGUUUAUAAAUACUGAUCAUCAGAUUAAAUUUGAUAAUUAUUAUGCCUCCAAAACUUUAAGAUUUCAUGAUAAAAAGUUGUAUUUUAAGAAGAUAAUAAAAUGAUUUUGAUAUAUUUUUUUUCUAAUUAUUAUUACAAAAUGAGAAAAGUAAUUAUAUUUGAAAUAGAAAACUAUCUAUUAAUGUACUGCAUAUCAAUGAAUAAAUGCACUUCAGAGCACUUAAGAUAUUACAAGACCUUAACAAUGUUUUUUACAUUAUCAUGCACAAUCAAAUUUGCAAAAAAUACUUUAAAUUUAAUUAAGUAUAGAAGGAAAAUGAUUUAUGUCAUAAAUAAAUUAUAGUAUAUUUUAAAGGUCAAUUCUUAUGACCUGAGUUUUAUAACAAAGGGAAUCUAGUAAGAGCAAAACAUUAAAAGUAAAAUGUUUUCCAUUGUACAGGUUUGUAAAAAGUGGUUUAUGUAGAAUUAAAAUUCAAUAAAAAACAAAAUAUUUACUAGAAAUAUUGCAUGUUUAAUUCAAUUACUGCUCAUGUAAAAAGAGGUAAUUACAAACAAUUAACAUUUUGGCAUUAUUUUGAAACUUUAUCAGUGCAAGUUUGCAAAAAAGAAACCUUUAAUCUAACCAGUGUCAAUUUAUGACCAAAAUUAGAGAUUUUAUUUUUUGAGCUUUGCUCCGCCUCAAUUUUGGGUUGAGAUCCUCUAGCUCUGCCCACUUCUGCAUCUAUACUCUCCUCCUCCACUUUGCAAGUGGAGACAAUUCAUUAGAAUAUAGACCCAUAAGUGUGAAACAAGUCCUGACAAUGCCCAAUUCAUUUAAAAGUCUCAUUAUUUUAAUAGCAAGUAAUAUCAAGUCAAAAAAAAAUUCACCAAUAAAAAGAAUUGGAAAAUUAAAAGGAUGAAUUCCUUGUUCAAUAAUAACUCAUAUUCAAAAUAUGAUUAAUUAGUGAGGUCAAAUUGAAAACAAUAAAAUGAUUGGAUGUUUAUCAGCUGUCAGUUGUUUAUACAUAGUUAAAAACCAACUUGUCAUCGUUGGAUGUACACAUUCCCUUCAUCUUUUUGCCAAGAAUAUUUUCUGAAAUUUUAAGCUUAAAACUAAAAAAAAAUGAGAGAGAAAGGAGAGAAUUAAUCUGCAUCAGAUUAAAAGUGUGUGCAGACUGCAAAAUUCCACACAUUUUAGUAAUUAUUUCCAGAAAUAACAGUAGGGAAACCUGUAUCAUUUACCAGGGAGGAUAGUUUAUUACAAAUAAAAGGUGUUCAGUCUAAUGACCUGACAGAGUAACUGCCUUUUUCUCCCCUUGAUUUAUUCAUCCUUUCUACAAAGUUUUAUACCUUUGUAGGGUUUCUUAUAUCUUCAAUGCUCUGUAAUUAAUUAUUUUUAAAAGGAUUCCCAUGUGAGCAUUAAUCACUGAUUUAUUUAUAUAUUCAUUUAUAAUGAUAUGUAGCAAGAGUUAUGUGUCUUUGUUGCAAUGACUAAUUAUAAAUACAAGAUUUUUUUGUAGGAAUAUAAUUAUAUUGUUAGGUAAUACAUAUCCAAAUAACACAUAUAAUUAUAUUCUGUGCAUUUCUGAAUUGGUAUCUUAUGGCUGCCUUUUACACAUUUUUUCUCUUUUAGCAAAUUAAUUUGACAAGUGACUGUCCCUGCACAUAUUAUGAUAAGUUACUUCCCUUGUCUUAUAGGUAUUUGUAAAAAAGCCCAUGUCCAUGACUUACAGGUAUUUCACAUAAUCUUAUGUGUAAAAAGCAUAUACAUGAUAAGUUACUUCCCUUGCUUUAUAGGUAUUUAGCACAAAAGGUCAAAUAAACUUAGACAGGUGAUUGUCUGUCAAGUAUUCAUGGUAUUGUUUCCUUUUGUUUAGCAAAUGGAGUUGCAAUGUCACAAUACUGUAACUAGAGAAACAAGUUACUUGUUGCACAUUUAAUAUAUGCAGAUUAAGUUGCAUAAUUUUUUUUGCAAAGGUAGUUGCGUUUAAUGUGGCAAUGUGGACGUGUAGGGCUGUAUCGCACACAGUGUUUGUCAUGCUGCAUAAAGCGUUACUAAUUUAAGUCAUGAUAGAACUAUUGAUAAUGUCGGUUUGACAAAGACAAAACUUUAUCAAUGAUCAGCUAAUGUUGUGUGCAGAAAAAAUGCAUUACACAGUAUUAUAUGACAGAUUACCUCGUAUGAUUAUACGCAUAACAAAAUAUUUUUUUUUUUUAAAUAUUGAGACCUCAUAUUAUGAAUUUAUCAAUAAUUUCUUUAGAUAUUUUGUUAAAUUUUUUCUCAGUAUGAUACUGAAAUGCUCUUUCUCUCUCUUUUCUUAAAAAAACCAACAGGCAGUCUGUUGCUAAGCACAUAUCAAGAAAACUGUUAAGAUUUCAAAGGAGAUUAAAGUACAAUAGGAUUAGGAAAAAUGCUAAAAAUGCCAGGAACUAAAAAAAAAACAGAACAGUUGCUCCAAAUAUAUGACAUAAUCCAAACUGAUUUAAAUUACAUUUGUCCCCCAUGAUAUAUGGUGAAGGUUUUUCUGAUAAAGGCUUUCAAUUGUGCUCAGAGAUAGUAAAAGCAGAUUGUCCCGCAAUGGCACAGAGAUAAAGCCUCUGAUGACAUUGCUUGACAACCAACAUGGCCACUUAGAAACAGGAAGUACUGCUCUUCAAUGUGGAGAUUUGUUGAGUUGAAUCUUCAAAUAAAGAUGCAUAUGGUUCAAAUUCAGGUAGAAAUCUGUAGGCCCUCAAGUAUUGUGCACUUCAAGAUUGAUAAUGAAUCUAAGGCAGCUCUCCUGGUCUCCAUUUAAUUGCUUUCAAGAAACAUAAAUUACUUGCAAUUAUAGUAAAGUCUCCUUUUGCAUCAGAAGUCUGUCUAAUAACACUAGGCAGACUGUAACUUAAAUAAUUAUUGAAGUUUGUCUUUGUGUAAUCUAGACAUGUACUUCCUUUAUUGUUUGAUGAAGAAUUGCUUCUGGAUGGUUUAUUGAGAAUCCAAAAUGUUUAUCAGUCUAAGUAUUAUUUGUAAUGUGGGAAAUUGUGAAAAAUUGGGGACACCAAAUUAUUAUUUCUUAUACCCAUCCUAUCAUUCUCCUACAGUUUGACUGUACCAUAAAUCUAAGAUACUGUCAAACCUGUUGACAAGUAGCACUUAUAUGACUUGUUUAACAGAACAACAAUGAUAUAUUUUUAAAGGUAAACUUUAAGAUUUUUUUUCAGAGUAUAUUGAAAUUUCCAUAAUAUGAAAAGUUCUUUUAAUUUAUUUGGAAAAUUGUCUUUGGACAGGUUUGACUGUAUAUAUU